rnacentral:rRNA from 1 species
CAGUCGAACGAAACUUCUUUAUCACCGAGUGCUUGCACUCACCGAUAAAGAGUUGAGUGGCGAACGGGUGAGUAACACGUGGGCAACCUGCCCAAAAGAGGGGGAUAACACUUGGAAACAGGUGCUAAUACCGCAUAACCAUAGUUACCGCAUGGUAACUAUGUAAAAGGUGGCUAUGCUACCGCUUUUGGAUGGGCCCGCGGCGCAUUAGCUAGUUGGUGGGGUAAAGGCUUACCAAGGCAAUGAUGCGUAGCCGAACUGAGAGGUUGAUCGGCCACAUUGGGACUGAGACACGGCCCAAACUCCUACGGGAGGCAGCAGUAGGGAAUCUUCCACAAUGGGCGAAAGCCUGAUGGAGCAACGCCGCGUGGGUGAAGAAGGUCUUCGGAUCGUAAAACCCUGUUGUUAGAGAAGAAAGUGCGUGAGAGUAACUGUUCACGUUUCGACGGUAUCUAACCAGAAAGCCACGGCUAACUACGUGCCAGCAGCCGCGGUAAUACGUAGGUGGCAAGCGUUAUCCGGAUUUAUUGGGCGUAAAGGGAACGCAGGCGGUCUUUUAAGUCUGAUGUGAAAGCCUUCGGCUUAACCGGAGUAGUGCAUUGGAAACUGGGAGACUUGAGUGCAGAAGAGGAGAGUGGAACUCCAUGUGUAGCGGUGAAAUGCGUAGAUAUAUGGAAGAACACCAGUGGCGAAAGCGGCUCUCUGGUCUGUAACUGACGCUGAGGUUCGAAAGCGUGGGUAGCAAACAGGAUUAGAUACCCUGGUAGUCCACGCCGUAAACGAUGAAUGCUAAGUGUUGGAGGG